rnacentral:rRNA from 1 species
AUUGAACGCUGGCGGCAAGCCUAACACAUGCAAGUCGAACGAGUGGCGGACGGGUGAGUAAUGUAUGGGAAACUGCCUGAUGGAGGGGGAUAACUACUGGAAACGGUGGCUAAUACCGCAUACUAUCGGAUGUGCCCAGAUGGGAUUAGCUAGUGGGUGGGGUAAAGGCUCACCUAGGCGACGAUCCCUAGCUGGUCUGCGAGGAUGACCAGCGACGCGGGAACAGAGAAACGGUGCAGACCGCUACGGGAGGCAGCAGUGGGGGAUCUUGAACAGUGGGAGCAAUGCUGAUCCAGCCAUGCCGCGGGGAGGAAGAUGGCCUUCGGAUGGUAAAGUAAUUUCAGCAGGGAGGAGUUGCGCGAAGAAGAAGCACCGGCGAACCCCGUGCCAGCAGCCGCGGUAAUAC